AUUGAACGCUGGCGGCAGGCCUAACACAUGCAAGUCGAACGAGUGGCGGACGGGUGAGUAAUGUCUGGGAAACUGCCCGAUGGAGGGGGAUAACUACUGGAAACGGUAGCUAAUACAGCAUACCAUCGGAUGUGCCCAGAUGGGAUUAGCUAUUAGGUGGGGUAAUGGCUCACCUAGGCGAAGAUCCCUAGCUGGUCGGAGAGGAUGACCUGCCACUCUGGAACUGAGACACGGUCCCACCUCCUACGGGAGGCAGCAGUGGGGAAUAUUUCACAAUGGGCGGAAGCCUGAUGCAGCCAUGCCGCGUGUAUGAAUAAGGCCUUCGGGUUGUAAAGUACUUUCAGCGGGGAGGCGUUACCCGCAGAAGAAGCACCGGCUAACUCCGUGCCAGCAGCCGCGGUAAUAC
rnacentral:rRNA from 1 species